UUCCGGUUGAUCCCGCCGGAGCUCACUGCUAUGGGAGUACGACUAAGCCAUGCAAGUCUUCCCGUAAGGGAGGCGGACUGCUGAGUAACACGUAGCUAACCUACCCUUGGGUGGGGGAUAACCUCGGGAAACUGAGGAUAAUACCCCAUUGGAAACACUAUCUGGAAGGAAGUGUUUCUGAAAGAUUUUUCGCCCAAGGAUGGGGCUGCGGCGGAUUAGGUUGACGUUAGGGUAACUGCCUAACGUGCCUAUAAUCCGUAGGGGCUGUGGGAGCAGUAGCCCCCAGAUGGAUUCUGAGACAUGAAUCCAGGCCCUACGGGGCGCAGCAGGCGCGAAACCUUCCCAAUGCGCGAAAGCGUGAGGGGGGUACUCCCAGUGCCUUCUUCUAGAAGGCUUUUCCUUGGUGUAAAUAGCCAAGGGAAUAAGGGGUGGGCAAGACCGUUGCCAGCCGCCGCGGUAAUAACGGCGCCCCAAGUGGUGAGCUUCAUUAUUGGGCCUAAAGGGUCCGUAGCCGGGCAUGUAAGUCCUCUGUUAAAUCCUAGAGAAGACUCUGGGAUCGCAGAGGAUACUACAUGUCUAGAGACCGGGAGGGGCUGAGGGUACUCACAGGGUAGGGGUGAAAUCCUAUAAUCCUGUGGGGACCACCUGUGGCGAAGGCGCUCAGCUGGAACGGUUCUGACGGUGAGGGACGAAAGCCAGGGGAGCAAACCGGAUUAGAUACCCGGGUAGUCCUGGCCGUAAACCAUGCUCGUUAGGUAUUGGGGGUUUCUCGGGAACCCUCAGUGCCGUAGCGUAGGCGUUAAACGAGCCGCCUGGGGAGUACGGUCGCAAGGCUGAAACUUAAAGGAAUUGGCGGGGGAGUACACAAGGGGUGCGGCCUGUGGUUUAAUUGGAUUCAACGCCGGG
rnacentral:rRNA from 1 species